AUCAAAUGCACCACGCGGAGCAUCAUAGCAUGCCCAUGUAAAGCAUCAUAACAUGAGUCAGCAUCCUUGUACAGGUUUUUUUUUUGGUUCGAUUGGAGAGGAAGAAACCAAAGGCUUCAACCCCCAGCCCAACUCCAUUGCACCUCAGCUCCAGCAGUUAACAGAGGAAGAGGUAAACAAGCUUUGCACAUUCGUUGGGGGAGUCCACCUGCACCCAAACAAAGAAGCAAACCAUUCCCAAAUAUUUUUUACCAAAACACAGGAUAUUAGUAAGUGGUAACCGGACUCACCAGCAACUCUACAGAGAAUACACCAGUGUGAAGAUAAACAACUGUUGGGUCUUUUUCUUUGAAGUAAGUCACCUGUGUUAUUUUUUUCCAGAAAAGCUUCCCAACAGAAACUCCCAACCCUCGGAGGUAUAGGUCGACACGACACAUCCUUGACAAGGAAUGACAAGCCGAUAGGAUUUUCCAGAUGCAAUAGGGCUUUAAAGAAGGAGGAACAAGUAAAGGAUCCAGAAGGAGAUGAGGCCCAGAUGCUACUAUCUGUUUUUGUUGGCUCAAAGAAGACCCCAUCAAGAAUGGACAGGAGAUUAGAGGUUUUCCCUUUGCUUAUGCAAUGAUUCUCUUCCAAAGAGCAGGCGUCACUUGUUUGGUAGUUCAUAUGCAGCGUUCCUAUAGUGUUUCUGGAGGAUUUUCUGCCAUGGAUGGUCUCCCAUCUUUCUUUAAAUGAACAAGAGGAUGUUGUGCUUUGUAUUGGAGAAAUUGUUCCUAAGGCUGAGUUUGGAAGGAGUACAAAUGCAAAUAUGUAGAGUGCAAAACCUUAUAUUUUGUAUUAUUUUGU